UUAAAACUUCCAUCUCUGUUCUGCGUUUUUUAAAAUUUGUUAAAAGAAGUUCAAAACGUUUAAAACUUCCAUGUUUGUUGUCCGAGUUUUUCUUUAAUUUGUUUAUAGAAGUUCACAAACUUUAAAACAUCCAAUUUAGUAUACAUCUACUUUGACUCCCACGUUUGUUGGUAUCUUCUUUUUUUUUUUUUAAUUUGUUAAACCUAAAAAUAUUUAAAAAAAAGUGUUAAGCAUCCAAUCUUUAGAUAUGAAGCAGACGAAACUGUUGGCUCUCAUAGCACACUCAAACAUAAAUCUUGAGUUACUACAAUUUAUGUGUUGUAUUUGCCCAUUUGGGUUUGAUGUCAAAGGUCCAUUUCUCUCCGCCCCCCAGGUAUGAGAAUCAGGAUUUACUGCUAAUUCUGCGCCUAUAUGUGGAUAAACCUUAAACUCAAUUCAAUGAUUUACAUUGGUGCAUUGGAAUUUUCUUUUGUGUACUUCACAUACUUUUCACCGCUAAUUAAAUGUAGGACUUCAAGUAGAUAGUCGUUAUCUUGACGCAGAUGAAAUUUUCCUUCCUUGAAAGCGAAAUUAUCGAUCUAUACAUUUUAGCUAACUGGUAUCUACCAUGUACAAAGUUUACAGACAUGUUGAUCAAUGUAUACCAGCAAUUUAAAAAUCAUAGCAAUCCUAAUUUUGAAAUCGUCUUUGUUUCGUCUGAUGAAAAUUUGGAUGCAUUUAACACUUAUUGAUCCUUUUUGUGUUAAAUUUAAAACCUUAAUUUCCAAAUUUGGUAUCUAUCAUCACAAUUUGGCUUUGAUUGGUGUUUGAAAGGUUUUUCUGAAUUUGUCGUUUUUAGGAAAGGGAUUUUGUAUUAUAUUUUAAUAUAUAAUGAAGUUUGUGAAGGAUAAGAAAAGGGAAAAAUAUGAGCUUGCGAAAGAUAUAGGAUUAGGGAAUGGUGUGGCAAGACUUACGAGGCACAAGGAGACCAAAGAGCUUGUGCUAUGAAAUACAUUGAGAGAGGACACAAGGUUUGCAUUAUUAUUGUCAUCAAAUCGAUUAAUUGAUCUAAGCGUCUUCCAAGUAAUAUAAAUUUCUUAUUAUUAUUGUUGUUGCACAUUUUCCUAAUUAUCAGUUAGACAUAUAUACAAUUAGCAAUAUCAUGUAAUGUUCUAUGAAGUUGAGAUGUCACCUUUUAUUGUAGAUUUAUGAUCAAUGUAGCAAGGGUUAUCAUUAAUAAUAAAUCACUUCGACAUCCAAACAUAAUUCGCUUCAAGAAGGCAAGUUUUUGUGCUUAUGUUUUAUUAUCCUGCAAUGUCGUAUUGAUAAUAUUGGUUUGUUUUGAAAAUGGCAAGAAAAACUAAGGAAUAGCUGGCCUAAUUGUUGCACAUUUAUUUUGUGAGAUACAGGUGUUAGUGACACCCACUAAUCUUGCCAUUGUUAUGGAAUAUACAGCUGAUGAAGAACUGUUUGAGCGCAUUUGCAAUGCAGGAAGGUUUAGCGAAGAUGACGUAUAUUUUAAAAUUUUAACUUUGUUAGUAAUCAGUCUCACAUAGACUACCAUAUAGAAGGAUUCUGAAGAAUAAAGAAAUGGUAAUGAUGUCUGUGAUUUUAAAAAGUCAUAUUUUUAUGAUUUUAAGAGCCUUGGUUCACUAUAUUUAAUGUUUCUCUUAUCUGGUUUCUUCAUGUUAUUAUUUUAGGCCAGUUACUUUUUCCAGCAACUUAUUUAAGGAGUCCACUACUAUCACAACAUGGAGAGAAAUUUACAAGAAUUUACCAACAAAAAAAACUUUCUUUAUGUGUGAUCAUAUGAACAGAAAUUUAGAUACAUCUUAGGCCUGGAUUUGUGUUUAUAAGUUUUAUUUCAAAUGCCAUCUUGUUAGUUUAAAGGAGCUUAAUCUUCUUCAAUCUUCCAUUAUGUCUGCAACAAAUAUGUCAUAGAGAUUUAAAGCUGGAGAAUACCCUUCUUGAUGGAAGUCCAGCUCCACGCUUGAAGAUAUGUGAUUUUGAAUACUCAAAGUCGUCCCUGUUGCGUUCGAGGCCAAAAUUACUCCUGAGGUCCUAUCCAGAAGAGAAUAUGAUGGCAAGGUUGUUGCUUGUACAAAGCCUUUUCUGGUGUCCCAAAAUGUGAAAAAUUGGCCUUGCCAAACUCUUCAAAUCUGAUGUUUGGUAAUACUAAGCCAUUAUUUCCUUGGAAUUAUGAUGAAGUACAUUGCUUUUGUACUAGAGCAUAAGUAUUUCACCAGUAAGAGUCAUGACUGCAAACAUGAAGCAAGGAUCUGCCCAUAUUUCAUCACAAGGUAAACCCACAGUGGAAGGAGCAUUAGCAGAAGGCAUAUUCUGACAAAAACCUGGGAUCGCUUUUGCAUCCACUUUGACCUGCUUGAGUUCGAGAAAUCAUGCAACUCAUUUGACCUUCUCUUCAUACAGACAACCGGAUUGUGAAACUGUACCAUGUCACCAGUUUGAGGCUGCAUUUAAGAUAAUUAUAUUUUUCAACAAAAGUGAUUUUGAUCCUUAAGAAGCUUUGGAAUUUCUCACACCUUUAUACUAUUACUUCUCA